GAUGAACGCUGGCGGCGUGCUUAACACAUGCAAGUCGAACGAAGCACUUUAUUUUAUUUCCUUCGGGACUGAUUAUUUUGUGACUGAGUGGCGGACGGGUGAGUAACGCGUGGGUAACCUGCCUUGUACAGGGGGAUAACAGUUGGAAACGGCUGCUAAUACCGCAUAAGCGCACGGCAUCGCAUGAUGCAGUGUGGAAAACUCCGGUGGUAUAAGAUGGACCGGCGUUGGAUUAGCUAGUUGGUGAGGUAACGGCCCACCAAGGCGACGAUCCAUAGCCGACAUGAGAGGGUGACCGGCCACAUUGGGACUGAGACACGGCCCAAACUCCUACGGGAGGCAGCAGUGGGGAAUACUGCACAAUGGGCGAAAGCCUGAUGCAGCGACGCCGCGUGAGCGAAGAAGUAUUUCGGUAUGUAAAGCUCUAUCAGCAGGGAAGAUAAUGACGGUACCUGACUAAGAAGCACCGGCUAAAUACGUG
rnacentral:rRNA from 1 species